ensembl:snRNA U6 U6 spliceosomal RNA
AUGCCCACUUCAGCAGCACAUAUACUAAAAUUGGAACGAUACAGAGAUUAGCAUGGCCCCUGUGCAAGGAUGACACACAAAUUCAUGAAGCAUUCUAUAUUUUU